rnacentral:misc_RNA from 1 species
AUAUUAUUGCUUCUAUAUUCACCUGAGACCCAACUAUCUGAAAACUAGUACCUUUGGUAAGGAAACUACCUGUCCUAACAAUUCAUUCGAUGCUGUGAUUAUUUGUGUUUUAUUAUUAAUUUACAGUCUAAAAUCAAGUUCCACGUGAAUAGUGUGCCUUAAAAUGAUUAUCCAAGACAUUUCAUAAUGACUUUAAAGACUCUGUCAGGAAAAUUGUUUAUCGCUGUUCUAGUGGCAUUUUAUGUUUGUCUCAACAUAAAAAUAAUCCUUCAGCAAUCAAAUGAUAAACAGCAAGCAAAUGAUCGAAUUAAGCAAUUAGAAAAUGAGAUAUUUUCAUGCGGGCAACAUUAUAUUCAAAAUAUGAAACAGCCAGCAGUUCCAGUCUCUGCUUUCACUCAAUCAGUUUCAGAUGUUUUACCACAAUGGAAAAAAUUAGACGACGACAAAGUAAAAACCAUAGGAAAGAUUAGAAACAAAAAGGGUUUUCUGACUAUAGCUAUUCCGUCUAUUCAACGGGCCAAUGGAUUAAAAUAUCUCAAGGACACUAUAGCAACGUUAAUAGAAAAGAUGACAAACAAUGAAAAAGAAGAAGUUGUUAUUGUGGUUUUACUAGGUGAUUUUGACAAGCAGUAUAAUGAGAAAGCUAUUGUCAUUCUAAGUAAUUUAUUUAAAAAUGAUCUGAGUAAUGGUUUGUUAAGAAUUGUACAAGCUCCACGAUCUUUUUAUCCAGAAUUAGUUAAUCUCAAAAGAAAUUUUCGUGAUCCGGCAAAGAGAGUUCAAUGGCGAUCGAAACAAGUCAUUGACUUUUCUUUUAUGUUUCUUUAUUCUAGAAACAUUAGUGAGUAUUAUGUUCAAUUGGAAGACGACGUAUUACCCGCUGACGGAUAUGUUUCUCAUAUACGCGAUUUUGUUAAAAAAAAUUCCAAUAGACAAUGGGCAAUGCUAGAGUUUUCUGAACUUGGUUUCAUUGGGAAACUAGUUAGAUCCAUUGAUUUAGAGAAAUUGGCCAGAUAUAUGAUGACUUUCUACGAUGAACAGCCAAUAGAUUGGCUUAUACGCUACUUUAAAGAUUCUAUGGCACAACAUAAAGUUAUUUUACGUAAACCCACACUCUUUCAGCACAUGGGUUUAGUUUCAUCUCUUGAUAAUAAGAAACCAAAUCGCUUGAAAGACAGAUUUUUUCCGGGUUCGGUCGGCUCGAACGUUAAAGAAGCACCAGCCCCUGUUCAGCUUAAAGGUGAUAACCCAUCUGCAAGUCUUCACACUUCAUUAGAAACGUAUAUACAUCAUGAACUUAACCAUAUGUAUGCAAUGUCCACUGACUUCUUUUGGGCGAAAACUCCUAAAAUUAAUGAUACUAUUACUGUAGUUUUCUUAGAUAGUUUACGUUUAAAAAGAGCAGCUGUGUUAACAGGAACCCCUGAGCAUGCUGGUGAUAUUUUAAGAGAAGGUGUAUUAGAAGCAGCCUUUGAGAAGACUAAUCUUCCUGCCGAUGAAAGAGAUGAAUCUGUUACUUGCAAAUCAUGGAGAGAAAUUGGUAAAUUUCAAAAUGGGGAAGUAGACGUUAAAGAACUCGACAAAUCUUUAAAGGAAUCAGUUUACUGCUUAAGAGUUAGAAUAACGGGAACACAACAAAACUGGAUAAUAUUUAGAGAAUUAGCGGUUUUUAUAAACAAAUAAUUGCAAUUAAACAAAUGAAAAUACCUUUUUGUCACCUCUCCACAAUAUUACAUAAGCAUAAUUGGCGGGCUGUAGCAAUAUUUCACUGAAAUUUAAAUUAUUGAUAUAUUGCUUUAGUUUUCUUUUUAACUAAAAAAGGACAACCAUCUUUCAGCAAAAUCUCACAAAAACUAAUACAAUUAAUUGUUACAUUUUAAUAACUUACUUAUCAAAUGUAUUAUGUCUAAGUGAAAUAAUUGUUUAAAUUCUACAGAGACUGAACAAAAAUGUACUAUUUAACCUAUUUGAAGAUUAUUUAACUUGUAUUUAAAUAAAAUAGGGCUAUAAAACUUUCAUUUCUAAUGCAUAAAAGGAUGAGAAGUAGAAGAUAAAACUACUAAAAUUAAUUAAACUUUAAGAUUUCUAAUUAUCUUCCUUCAGGAAUACUU